rnacentral:misc_RNA from 1 species
GAAAUGCGAUAAGUAAUGUGAAUUUCAGAGUUCAGUGAAUCAUCGAAUCUUUGAACGCACAUUGCGCCCGCCAGUAUUCUGGCGGGCAUGCCUGUUCGAGCGUCAUUUCAACCAUCAAGCCCCGGCUUGUGUUGGGGACUUGCGGCUGCCCGCAGGCCCUGAAAAACAGUGGCGGGCUCGCUGUCACACCGAGCGUAGUAGCAUACAUUCUCGCUCAGGGCGUGCUGCGGGUUCCGGCCGUUAAAAACGACCUUCAUAACCCAAGGUUGACCUCGGAUCAGGUAGGAAGACCCGCUGAACUUAAGC